rnacentral:lncRNA from 1 species
AAUGCCGAGAACGACCUAGAAUAAAGGUAUAUACAUCUUUUUUUAUUAAUCGUACACAAAAUACUUUUAAUUAUAUUUUUUAAAUUAAUGUAUUUAUGCCCGUAUUUCUAAAAAAAAAAAAAUACGUAUGUAUCAAUGUGGUUUGGGAAGUAAUUAAAUAUAAAUUUUGAAAAAAAUAAUGGAAACAACUCGAUGUACUAACAAGUGUUGAUUUAUAACGGAGGGCAUAGAUUCGAUUUUUCGAAUGAGGUUAAGAAGAUUUUCUCCAUGAAUAUAUCCUAAUUUUGGUAGGAUACAUUAGAAGUUUUAACAAAGUAUGUCUAAUAUAUUAUAGUAUCACUUGUAUAUGCUAUUGUAAUUUAAGGUUAGUUUAGAUAUUUACCCGUUAUGCUUUACCGAAUUCUUAUCUCGUUUCUCAUUUAUAGUAUUUUUCACUAUAUUUAAAUAAUUUUUAAUCAAUUAUGAUUAUCAUAAUUAAGAUAAACUAAUUGUUAUAAUAUAUAUACAUUAUAUAUAUUAAUACUAGAUUUGUUGUUGGUACCGAAUUGUUUCUUUAGGGUUUAUUAUUGCUAGAUAUAUAAUAUCUCUUGGAUGUAACAUAUUGCUCUUUAUGUUUUCCAUUUUUGCAGGGUCGAUUUGUGAAGAUAGGCUGAGAAAGUAUACAUUUUUUUUUUUUUAUAAAUCUUGUUGGUAUCUUUUUUUAUUAUUUUUUUUGGAGUUUAUUGUGCGGGUGAAAUAUUUUUUUUCUUCUAAUAUUUUGUUUUAAUUUAUUAGAAUUAAAAAAUAAAUUAUUUUUCAAAUUAAAUCGCAUGUUAUUACACACGUAAUAUUGAACAUAAAUAUUGAUCCAAUUAGAAUAUUAACAUAUCUUAAUUGUGUAAAGUUUCGAAAUUUAAAUAAAAAUAAAGUCAUAAAUUAAAUGUGAA